rfam:Lupinus angustifolius cultivar Tanjil chromosome LG20, whole genome shotgun sequence.
CCCGCUGAGUUUCAGUAUAUCAAUAAGUGGAGGAAGAGAAACUAACAAGGAUUCCCUUAGUAGUGGCGAGCGAACCGGGAAAAUCCAACCAUGAGAAUCAGUUGCCCUCGAUGUCUGAAUUGUAGUAUGGAGAAGCGUCCUCAACGGCGGACUGAGCCCAAGUCCCCUAGAAGGGGGCGUCGGAGAGGGUGAGAGGCCCGUCGUGCCCAGACCUUGUUGCAGCAUGAGGCGCUAUCAGCGAGUCGGGUUGUUUGGGAGUGCAGCCCCAAUCGGGUGGUAAAUUCCGUUGAAGGCUAAAUUGAGGCGAGAGACCGAUAGUGAACAAGUACCGUAGGGGAAAGAUGAAAAGGACUUUGAAAAGAGAGUCAAAGACUGCUUGAAAUUGUCGAGAGGGAAAGGGAUGGGGGCCGGUAAUGUGCCUCGGUCGGAUGUGGAAGGGCGAGAGCCGAUCCACCAAUCGACUUGGGACAAUGACCAACGCGAAUUGUGAUGGUGGCCCAAGAUUGGGCUAUUGACAUGCUCGUGAAGACGUCAUCAUCGUGAUUGUGUUAGGAAGUGUGCGUCGUUUCGUGUGCUUCGGCUCCUGCAUGCUCCGAGCGUCGGCCUGCAGGCUCCAUAUUCGACCCAUCUUGAAACACGGAACAAGGAGUUUGACAUGUGUGCGAGUUAGAGGACAAGUAAACCCCUAAGGCACAAUGAAGCUGAUUGGUGGGAUCCCCUUGUGGGUGGCACCGUUGACCGACCCUGAUCUUCUGUGAAGGGUUUGAGUGAUAGCAUACCUGUCGGAACCCGAAAGAUGGUGAACUAUGCCUGAGCGGGGCGAGGCCAGUGGAAACUCUGGUGGAGGCGAACAGCGAUACUGACGUGCAAAUCGUUCAUCUGACUUGGGUAUAGGGGCGAAAGACUAAUCGAACCGUCUUGUAGCUGGUUCCCUCCGAAGUUUCCCUCAGGAUAGGUAGAGCCUAUAGGCGAGUUCUAUCGGGUAAAGCCAAUGAUUAGAGGCAUCGGGGGUGCAACGCCCUCGACCUAUUCUCAAACUUUAAAUAGGUAGGGUGAUGUGGCUGCUUUGUUGAGCCACGCCACGAAAUCGAGAGCUCAGAGUGGGCUAUUUUUGGUAAGCAGAACUACCGAUGCGGGAUGAACCGGAAGUGGGUUACGGUGCCCAACUGUGUGCUAACCUAGACCCUACAAAGGGUGUUGGUUGAUUAAGACAGCAUGACGCUAGUCAUGGAAGUCAAAAUCUGCUAAGGAGUUUGUAACAACUUACCUGCCGAAUCAACUAGCCCCAAAAAUGGAUGGCGCUAAAGCGCGCGAUCCAUACCCAGCCAUCAGGGCAAGGGCCAGGCCCCGAUGAGUAGGAGGGCGUGGCGGUCGCUUCAAAACCUAGGGCGUGAGCCCGGGCGGAGCGGUCGUCGGUGCAGAUCUUAAUGGUAGUAGCAAAUAUUCAAAUGAGAACAUUGAAGGCCGACUAGGGGAAAGGUUCCAUGUGAACGACACUUGCACAUGGGUUAGUCGAUCCUAAGGGACGAGGGAAGCCCGUCUGAUAGCACUCUAAGUGUGCACUCCGAAAGGGAAUUGGGUUAAAAUUACUGAACUGGGACGUGGUGGCUGACGGCAACGUUCGGGUGUCCGGAGACCGCGGCGGGGACCCAGGAAAGAGUUAUAUUUUCUUUUUAACAGCCUGCCCAUCCUGGAAACAACUCAACCGCAGGUAGGGUCCAGUGGCUAGAAGAGCACUGCACGUCGCGUGGUGUCUACUACGCCCCCAAAUGCCCUUGAAAAUCUGGAGGACCGAGUGCCUCCCACGCCCGGUCAUACUCAUAACCGCAUCAGGUCUUCAAGGUGAACAACCUCUGGUU